GUGCUCUUGGUGUAGUGGUAACGCACCUCCUUAUAUGUUGAAUGUAUAGAACAUAACAAGGGUGGGUCCAGGGUUCGAAUCCCUGAGAGCACA